GACAUUUCUGCUCUGAAAUGUACAUCAGAUCUUCUUCACAGAACGAUCUUAGGGAGUGGUAGCAAAUGGUUGUCUCCUCCACGUCGUCUUCUUCUGACCUCCAGUUGAUAUGAAUCUCUCACUAUCUUCUUCUCCUCCAUCUGCAGCUUCUGUCGCUGCCUCUUCUUCUUCCUCCUCCCCCUCCUCUUCUUCUUCUUCAGCUACUUCAUGGUUCUCCAGCAUUGUUCGUGGCCGGGCUGAUCGAUCCGAUAGCCUCAAAAAGGCUAGCAAUUCGGGCUCAAGGGAUUUCUUCAGUCCCAUUAUUGCCAAGGACCAGUUUCCCGGUGUGCUCUUCAAAUACGGACCAAAGCCUAUCCAGGUUGCAUUUAAAACAGGUGAUCAUAAACAACAACUCGUUUUUAUUGGAGGAUUAACAGAUGGCUUUCUAGCAACUGAAUACUUGGGGCCUCUGGCAAUUGCUUUGGAUAGAGAGAAAUGGUCACUUGUUCAGCUGCUUAUGUCAUCAUCAUAUAGCGGAUAUGGAACUUCCACCUUGCAACAAGAUGCCAAGGAGAUUGAUCAGCUUGUAAGUUAUUUGAUCAACAAAGAAAAUUCUGAAGGUGUGGUCCUACUUGGACACAGCACUGGUUGUCAGGAUAUUGUGCAUUAUAUGCGAACCAAUGCUGCAUGCUCCAGAGCAGUCCGUGCUGCUAUUCUGCAGGCUCCAGUCAGUGAUCGGGAAUACAGGGCAACCCUUUCUGAAACAGCUUCUAUGAUUGAUUUGGCUUCAACUAUGAUAGCAGAAGGUCGGGGAUCAGAUUUAAUGCCCAGGGAAGCAGACUCAUCUGCCCCAAUAACUGCUUAUAGGUAUCACUCCCUUUGUGCGUAUAUGGGUGAUGAUGACAUGUUCAGCUCUGAUCUUACUGAUGACCAGCUGAAAACAAGACUUGGGCACAUGUGCAACACACCUUGCCAGGUAGACAAAACAGAUACAUUGUCCCGAUAUUCUUGUCUGUUGAUGUAAAAGUCAAUGACGUGAUGAUUUCGCCAAAUUUUUGAAAGGAGAAACAAUUUUGAAGAUAAAGAUAUAAGAUAUUUUAAUAGGAAACAUCUUAAGGAUAUUAAUACAACACUUGCAGCCAAUAUGAUAGGCCCUGGUGAUUAUGUUUCAAGUGAUGAUUCUGAAAUCCGGGGAUAGUUAUCUGCUGCUACAUACAAGGACUUGACAGGGUAUGAGUACACGAUCUUCCUGCAACCUCUGCAAAUUCCCAACAACCACCUUUCUACAGGCUUGAGGGUGAAUAUGGAUAUCUGCAAGACAAUAGGAGGACCAAGAGGGGUUUUCCUCCUUGGCUUUCCCAUAGUGAAGCUAGACGAGGCCAUAAUGCUGAGAGUUAUUUUUUCCAUGGCUGAUGAAUACGUUCCAGAAUAUGUUGAUAAGAAAGCAUUGGUUGGAAGACUGUGCAGAGCAAUGGGCGGUGCAGAGAAAGUUGAAAUUGAACACGGGAAUCACUCCCUCUCUAACAGGAUUCGUGAAGCUGUCCAGGCAAUAAUUGAUUUUGUUAAAAGAGAAGGACCUAAAGGCUGGGAUGAUCCAUGGAAUUAGUAUGAUGCCAUUUUCUUUUUUCUUAUGUUCCUUGUGUGUGUGGGUUUUUCUUUCCUUUUUUGGGCCUUUCUCUUUUUUAUUGAUUUGCAGCUUUGCAUUCUUCAAAGCAUUAGUGUAUGCGUUUUAUUUUUCCAUAAGAUUUUGGUGGCAUUGUUGAAAUUUGUCAAAAAAGUGAAUAUUGUUGUUGAAUAUUUAAUUUAUGAACUUUGUAUUUAUUUUUGAUUCCUGAAAUAGAAUAUGGUGGUUGGUAGGA